GGAGAGGGGCGCAGGCCGCCGACGGGUUCCCGAGGGCGUUGGUGGCUCGGCCGGCUGGCCGCCCCGGCCUCCGCCGCCCGGCCGGUGCGAGCACCUUCCGCCAUGGUGUCCGGUCACCCGGGCACAGGCGAAGGCACCGAGGCGCGGAGUUAGGAAACGUGCGCAGAGCUUGACCCAGCCGGCGGGGCAGCGCCCGGGUCCGACCGAGGCCACUGGGCUGUGGGGUUCUGGCUGUGACCAUUGGUCGCCCGCCUCCCCCGUCUUUAAACUUCUUUAUCUACCCUUCUUGCUUCGGAUCUCCUGAGUUCCUGUGGACGGGACAGCUCACACAGAUCAAAUUGACAUUAUAAUGAAGGAAAAGACGUUACUUAAAUCUAUGUGUGUCCCUUGUUUUUUGCUUCAACUUGACCAAACAGGUAAGGGUCUGUUUGUUUUUAUAAACCGUGAUGCUAAUUGUGUG
ensembl:lncRNA